AGGCGGCGUCCCAGUUCUGGCCUGACGCUCAGACACGAAAGCAUGGGGAGCGAACGGGAUUAGAAACCCCGGUAGUCCAUGCCGUAAACGAUGCAGACUAGGCGUUGGGGGCGUGAAGCCCUCGGUGCCGAAGCAAACGCGCUAAGUCUGCCGCCUGGGGACUACGACCGCAAGGUUAAAACUCAAAGGAAUUGACGGGGGCCCGCACAAGCAGCGGAGCGUGUGGUUUAAUUCGAGGCUACACGAAGAACCUUACCUAGGUUUGACAUGGGAGUGGUAGGGAAGCGAAAGCGGACCGACCCUUCGGGGAGCUUCCACAGGUGCUGCAUGGCUGUCGUCAGCUCG
rnacentral:rRNA from 2 species